UAAGGGUGUACCGACAAUGAAUGGUUAUGAACCCCGCCAGAUCCGGAAGGAAGCAACGGUAAUAAUUUUUUCAUGUGUUGGCUGUUAUUCUUGGUG
rnacentral:SRP_RNA from 1 species